rnacentral:rRNA from 1 species
GAUGAACGCUGGCGGCGUGCCUAAUACAUGCAAGUCGAGCGAACAGACGAGGAGCUUGCUCCUCUGACGUUAGCGGCGGACGGGUGAGUAACACGUGGAUAACCUACCUAUAAGACUGGGAUAACUUCGGGAAACCGGAGCUAAUACCGGAUAAUAUAUUGAACCGCAUGGUUCAAUAGUGAAAGACGGUUUUGCUGUCACUUAUAGAUGGAUCCGCGCCGCAUUAGCUAGUUGGUAAGGUAACGGCUUACCAAGGCGACGAUGCGUAGCCGACCUGAGAGGGUGAUCGGCCACACUGGAACUGAGACACGGUCCAGACUCCUACGGGAGGCAGCAGUAGGGAAUCUUCCGCAAUGGGCGAAAGCCUGACGGAGCAACGCCGCGUGAGUGAUGAAGGCCUUCGGAUCGUAAAACUCUGCUAUUAGGGAAGAACAAAUGUGUAAGUAACUAUGCACGUCUUGACGGUACCUAAUCAGAAAGCCACGGCUAACUACGUG